rnacentral:piRNA from 1 species
UUCAACCUGAUGAGACAAGGGUUGC